UCCGGUUUGUCACCGGCAGUCUCCUUAGAGUUCCCGACCGAAUCGCUGGCAACUAAGGACAAGGGUUGCGCUCGUUACGGGACUUAACCCAACAUCUCACGACACGAGCUGACGACAGCCAUGCAGCACCUGUCUCUGCGUUCCCGAAGGCACCAAUCCAUCUCUGGAAAGUUCGCAGGAUGUCAAGGCCAGGUAAGGUUCUUCGCGUUGCAUCGAAUUAAACCACAUGCUCCACCGCUUGUGCGGGCCCCCGUCAAUUCAUUUGAGUUUUAGCCUUGCGGCCGUACUCCCCAGGCGGUCGACUUAUCGCGUUAACUGCGCCACUAAGCUCUUUAAUGAACCCAACGGCUAGUCGACAUAGUUUAGGGCGUGGACUAC
rnacentral:misc_RNA from 1 species